rnacentral:tRNA from 1 species
AUUUAUAUAGUUUAUUUAAAACCUUACAUUUUCACUGUAAAAAUAAAACAUAAGUUUUUAUAAAUA